CUUCUCUCCUGUAUUCUGUUCUACUAUUCUCUCUCUCUCUCUGUGUAGUUUAAGUUGUCUCUCCUGUAUUCUGUUCUACUAUUCUCUCUCUCUCUCUGUAGUUUAAGUUGUUUCUCCUGUAUUGUGUUCUACUAUUCUCUCUCUCUGUGUAGUUUAAGUCUUCUCUCCUGUAUUAUGUUUUACUAUCUCUCUCUCUCUCUCUCUCUCUCUCUCUCUGUGUAGUUUAAGUCUUCUCUCCUGUAUUAUGUUUUACUAUUCUCUCUCUCUCUCUGUGUAGUUUAUGUCUUCUCUCCUGUAUUCUGUUUUACUAUCUCUCUCUCUCUCUCUCUCUCUCUCUCUCUCUCUCUCUCUGUGUAGUUUAAGUCUUCUCUCCUGUAUUCUGUUCUACUAUUCUCUCUCUCUCUCUGUGUAUUUUAAGUCAUCUCUCCUGUAUUCUGUUUUACUAUCUCUCUCUCCCUCUCUCUCUGUAUUUUAAGUCAUCUCUCCUGUAUUCUGUUUUACUAUCUCUCUCUCUCUCUCUCUUUCUCUUCUCUCUCUCUCUCUCUCUCUCUCUCUCUCUCUCUGUAGUUUUAAGUCUUCUCUCCUGUAUUCUGUUUUAC
ensembl:lncRNA